AGAGAGAGACAUGCGCGUAUAUCAAUAAGCGGAGGAAAAGAAACUAACAAGGAUUCCCCUAGUAACGGCGAGUGAAGCGGGAAGAGCUCAAAUUUGAAAUCUUAAAGGGUUUCCCUUUACGAAUUGUAGCUUAAAGAAGUGUUUUCUGUUGAGGUUUUGGUAAAAGUUCUUUGGAAUAGGACAUCAUAGAGGGUGAGAAUCCCGUAUUUGACCAUUACUUUCCAACUUUGUGAUACACUUUCAAAGAGUCGGAUUGUUUGGGAAUGCAGUCCAAAAUGGGUGGUAAAUUUCAUCUAAAGCUAAAUAUUGGCGAGAGACCGAUAGCGAACAAGUACCGUGAGGGAAAGAUGAAAAGAACUUUGAAAAGAGAGUUAAACAGUACGUGAAAUUGUCAAAAGGGAAGCGUUUGACACCAGUGUUGUUUUUCUGAAAAUCAAUUAAAGAACUGUUUAUGCUAAGCUGUUUAGACUUUAUCAGCUAACUGUUUAGUUUUGAGCUUUUCUUUAAUGCACUUUUCAGUUAACAAGUCAACAUCAAUUUCUUUUGCUGUAAAAAAGCUUGAGGAAGGUGGCUUGAGAUUCGUCUUAAGUGUUUAUAGCCUCUUGCCUAUGCAGUCGGAGAGAUUGAGGUCUGCAGCGUAGAUCCUUCGGGGCUAAAUGCAUUUGUGCUAAGUUAUAGCAUUUUAUAGACAACUUGUUGACUAUGAUUUGUCUUGUAGCUUACUCGCUUAUGUUAUUUUACCUACGCUUAGGAUGUUGAGCGCAUGUCUCUCUCU
rnacentral:rRNA from 1 species